UGGGGCGUCGACAAGCGGUAAGUCACGGGUCUUUGGAACCCGCAUUCGUAGGUUCGAAUCCUACCGCCCCAACCA
rnacentral:tRNA from 1 species